rnacentral:rRNA from 1 species
UCAGUAGUGACACUGCGGCAGGAGUACUA